rnacentral:lncRNA from 1 species
CACUAAACCAAUGGUUGUAAGUCAAGAACUACCUGUAAAUGUACUACUUACUUCUAACCAUUGCAUUUUCAUCUGUAUGUCGCAGGAGUUUUCCAAUUUUGCAACCUCACAAAGAGCAAGGAUCCCAGAAGGAAGGAACAAGGUAGACUUGACUGAAGUUUGGAAGCAGAAGAAUCCUUGAGAAUCCCCUAUGCAGGUGGUGGAUUAUAGGAUUGCCCCUGGACAAGGAGGAAGGGGAGAUUGUCCUGU